rnacentral:rRNA from 1 species
CUUAAAUUGAAGAGUUUGAUCAUGGCUCAGAUUGAACGCUGGCGGCAGGCCUAACACAUGCAAGUCGAGCGGCAGCGGGAAGUAGUUUACUACUUUGCCGGCGAGCGGCGGACGGGUGAGUAAUGUCUGGGGAUCUGCCUGAUGGAGGGGGAUAACUACUGGAAACGGUGGCUAAUACCGCAUGACCUCGCAAGAGCAAAGUGGGGGACCUUAGGGCCUCACGCCAUCGGAUGAACCCAGAUGGGAUUAGCUAGUAGGUGGGGUAAUGGCUCACCUAGGCGACGAUCCCUAGCUGGU